UAGGGAUAUCGAGGGCAACAAAAGAAAGAAUCCGUGGUUUCGAACAAAAGAGUCAGUCUAUCUCAAGCUGCGAAGUACGAAAGGUUCAGUAUCAUAGCGAAGCAAACACAAGCCGAGAUACGCGAUUGUAAACUCUCGUUGGUUAAUCAUAAGUAUGAAUCGUAUAAAUUGUUGACUCGUUGAUUGUUAAUAGUAAUAAACUUUUUGUUGAACAUCGGAGUAUUCCUUCCGCACCUAUCACGACAUACCACCUCAC
rnacentral:misc_RNA from 1 species